CGGAUGUCUACUUUCCAACAAAAUUUGAAUCAACUUAAUCAGACUUCUGUAGCUUCCAAAAUCUUCAAAAUACCAUAUGGUGUUCAAUCUAUCACGGAUUUCAACUGGAUUUGAACUCUGAAUUUCUUCCACAUGUGAGAGAUCUUCAUGGUUGAACUUCUCCACGUGAUGAGUGAUGAUCUUCACGACAUUAGGAAUCCUUCUUAAUGGCACUCAAUUAUAAGGACUUAAUCUUAAACACAUGGACUCAAUCCUCUCACAUAAGGACUCAAUUUCACUCAUACGACUAAACUAAAUUCUCCACACAUGACCCAAUAUGACUUGACUCAAUCCUUGCAUAACAUGGACUCUUUUGAUGCCACUUGGCAUUCAAUUGCAAACAUAAAUCAGCAAAUUGCAAACCCAAAAUAAGAACUCAAA
rnacentral:lncRNA from 1 species